UACGGGGGGGGCAAGCGUUGUUCGGAAUUACUGGGCGUAAAGGGCUCGUAGGCGGCCAACUAAGUCGGACGUGAAAUCCCCAGGCUCAACCUGGGAACUGCGUCCGAUACUGGAUGGCUUGAAUCCGGGAGAGGGAUGCAGAAUUCCAGGUGUAGCGGUGAAAUGCGUAGAUAUCUGGAGGAAUACCGGUGGCGAAGGCGGCAUCCUGGACCAACACUGACACUGAGGAGCGAAAGCCAGGGGAGCAAACGGG
rnacentral:rRNA from 1 species